rnacentral:rRNA from 1 species
GAUGAACGCUGGCGGCGUGCCUAAUACAUGCAAGUCGAGCGAACAGACGAGGAGCUUGCUCCUUCGACGUUAGCGGCGGACGGGUGAGUAACACGUAGGUAACCUACCUAUAAGACUGGGAUAACUUCGGGAAACCGGAGCUAAUACCGGAUAAUAUUUCGAACCGCAUGGUUCGAUAGUGAAAGAUGGCUUUGCUAUCACUUAUAGAUGGACCUGCGCCGUAUUAGCUAGUUGGUAAGGUAACGGCUUACCAAGGCAACGAUACGUAGCCGACCUGAGAGGGUGAUCGGCCACACUGGAACUGAGACACGGUCCAGACUCCUACGGGAGGCAGCAGUAGGGAAUCUUCCGCAAUGGGCGAAAGCCUGACGGAGCAACGCCGCGUGAGUGAUGAAGAUCUUCGGAUCGUAAAACUCUGUUAUUAGGGAAGAACAAACGUGUAAGUAACUGUGCACGUCUUGACGGUACCUAAUCAGAAAGCCACGGCUAACUACGUG